rnacentral:rRNA from 1 species
GACGGAAGGUGCAAGCGUUGCUCGGAAUCACUGGGCGUAAAGGGUGCGUAGGCGGCUUCUUAAGUCUGGUGUGAAAGCCCAGGGCUCAGCUCUGGAAGUGCACUAGAUACUGGGAAGCUUGAGUACCGGAGGGGAGAGUGGAAUUCCUGGUGUAGCGGUGAAAUGCGUAGAUAUCAGGAGGAACACCGGUGGCGAAGGCGGCCCUCUGGACGGAUACUGACGCUGAGGCGCGAAAGCGUGGGGAUCAAACAGG